rnacentral:rRNA from 1 species
GAUGAACGCUAGCGCUAGGCUUAACACAUGCAAGUCGAGGGGCAGCAUGGUCUUAGCUUGCUAAGACUGAUGGCGACCGGCGCACGGGUGCGUAACGCGUAUGCAACUUGCCUCACAGAGGGGGAUAACCCGUCGAAAGACGGACUAAUACCGCGUACACUCCAUCUUGGGCAUCCAAGGUAGAGGAAAUGAAAUUCGCUGUGAGAUAGGCAUGCGUCCCAUUAGCUAGUUGGUGAGGUAACGGCUCACCAAGGCGACGAUGGGUAGGGGAACUGAGAGGUUGAACCCCCACACUGGUACUGAGACACGGACCAGACUACUACGGGAGGCAGCAGUGAGGAAUAUUGGUCAAUGGGCGAGAGCCUGAACCAGCCAAGUAGCGUGAAGGAUGACUGUCUUAUGGAUUGUAAACUUCUUUUAUACGGGAAUAACAAGAGUCACGUGUGACUCCCUGCAUGUACCGUAUGAAUAAGCAGCGGCUAACUCCGUG